CUGAUGCAUCUAAUGUGCGCAUAGAUUAGCUAAUUAUGCGCUGCGUUGGACGGUAAAAAUGAGCAAAGUUAAUUUCAUCUUAGAUAUUAUUUAAAUGCACAAUAAUGAUGGAAACGCUCCCUUUCUGUUAAACAACUCGAUCAUUACGGAAAUACUCGGAGAAAUACCAAUGAUUUUUUUUAUUUUUUGCCAGAAUUAUUAAACUAUGCUAAUAAUGAAAUGUCUGCAUAUCUGAUGCGUCAAAGCGAAACUAUCCCGACAUUUUAUAAUCCUCCAUUUUGUUCUGCUUGUCUCUAAACGCCAUAUUUAUCAGCGCGUCUCCAGAUAAACAGUGUAUAAACAUUUUAAGUAAUAAUAAUGUAAUAAUAAUAAAUAAUCUCAUUAACUCUGAGCCUGGUGUGUUUUAUUUAAUCCGUCCAGGACCUCACUGAUGCCAAACUGGACCCUCUCCCUGGUUCUGACUGGGAUCCUGAGUUCUGCUGCUCUGGGGAAACCUCUGCUGGCUGGGGAUGAAACUCAGGCCGUCAUCUACCAGGCAGAGGAGCACUCCAGCGUCACGCUGACAUAGAGCCUUCCUGUAGAAAGCACGGCUGACCUGCUGCACAUGGAUCUGAUAAGCAUGGGGACAUGGAGGAGAGUAUAUCGCUACGACAGCAGAGCUGAGGCUGAGCCGUACACAGACGAGGCGUUCACUGGUCGACUGCAGUGUGAUGGUCAGCUGGACCGGAGCGGACGGGUCCGAUGUCUCCUGACUGACCUGAGGCUCAACGACACGGGAAGUUAUCUGUGGACGGUUGAAGCUGGUGGAGGAAGACACCAGAAAACAUGGCGGCUGGUAGUCAAAGCUGCCCCUCAUGAAACUCAGGAGGAGACCCAGGAGCCAAUGGAUCGGGGGAGGUUUGGGCUUUAUGCUGGUUUAGGUUUGGUUCUGGUGGUAACAGGAGGACUCUUACUCCGUUACGUCAUUGGUUCAGUUUUUAGGUCUAAGCGUUCAUCUCUAGGUUUAUCAGGCAGUAAGUCAUAGAUUCAUCAAAACCUGCCAUUUCAAUCCUCCCUACAUGUCUUUUUUUCCUGCCUUGAUCAUUUAUCGGAGGAGAUCUUCUGGACUCUCCAAAGAUCCCUCCGUCUUUCGUCCAUAUUGGACUUAAAGCUGAGUCAGCAGUUUGUUUUCUGGUGACCAGAAACGUAUAGGAUGAGUUCUAGAGAAGGAACAGAAGUUGUUCUAAAGGUGUUUUGAAUUCAUUACUAAAGCACUUUGUCCUAUUAACGCCACUGUUACAGUGAAGCUGCUGCUAUCAGCGUUAUGGGGGAACACUAGCCUCAGAAAAUAGUCUCUACCUCAUGUUAGAAGAAUAAUGAGACAGAGAACCGGAUCGACUUCCUGCCACUACCCAGGUCAAGGUGUCCAUGAGCCAGACACCGAAUCCGGGCCUGAUCUACCUCAAUGAAAGAGUCGAUAUCAAAGGUUUUAGAAUGAAAUCUUGUUUACCCAUGAAUAAGCGUAUUUACAAUAAUGUAUUACACUACAUGGUUCAGUUGUAGCUUAUGUUUACCUGCAGAGUCAGUGACGUGAUUCUGAGCCUCUGCACUCAGAAAAAGUGUUAAUGAGCAUGAAGCUGAACCUGGAAUAAGCUACCUCAAUGGAGGAAGAGGUGUUAGCAAGUGUAUAUAAAUGUAAAGCAGCAAGUAUGGGCG